AUAAAGGAAUUAAAACUGCCUAACUUUUAAAUAAAGCUUUAGUUAGGAGCCAAAAUCCCAUCAGUCCAGCAACUUCAAGAGACUAGGAGCUUCAGAUAUUUAAAUAGAACUGGGUUGUGGGAAAUCUUCCAAGGACCUACAGGACUAGGCAGCAGCUAUGAGAGGCUUUAUGAGUGCUUUGUGGCUGCCUGAAUCCACUCGGAGAUUUGGUUGAAAAAAUUCAGAUGAUUUAAAAAAAAUGUAAGAAGUUGCAGUCCUGUCUUUUCUCCAGAGAGGAAGAAUAGUGUCUUGGAAACUGAUCAACUUCUACUUAGUUGUAUGACACAAGAGAAGUUAUGCUUGCAGCACAUAGUUAAGAGUUUGGAGUGAAAAACCUCGAUGUGUCACUUCAGACACAUCAGCCUCUAACUUUUUGUACAUCUAAAUGUAUUCAAGAUUACCAAGGAUCCUUUUGGUGUUAAAAGGUUGCAAGAAGAAAAUGUCAAACAAACUAAAUGAAAUAAGCUUCCACAACAAUAGAAGAGAAGAAAAAUUCACAUUGAGAGUCUGGUGUGUAUCAGGUUAUAAUAACUUAAAUGACUAUGGUUAUAGAAGUGAAUAAAUCCAG